CCUACGGGAGGCAGCAGUGAGGAAUAUUGGUCAAUGGCCGUAAGGCUGAACCCGCCAAGUCGCGUGAAGGAAGCAGGAUCUAUGGUUUGUAAACUUCUUUUAUAUGGGAAUAAAACGUUCCACGUGUGGCAUUUUGUAUGUACCAUAUGAAUAAGGAUCGGCUAACUCCGUGCCAGCAGCCGCGGUAAUACUGAGGAUCCGAGCGUUAUCCGGAUUUAUUGGGUUUAAAGGGAGCGUAGGUGGUUUGUUAAGUUAGUUGUGAAAGUUUGCGGCUCAACCGUAAAAUUGCAGUUGAAACUGGCAGUCGUGAGUACAGUAGAGGUGGGCGGAAUUCGUGGUGUAGCGGUGAAAUGCUUAGAUAUCACGAAGAACUCCGAUUGCGAAGGCAGGUCACUGAACUGCAACUGACACUGAGGCUCGAAAGUGUGGGUAUCAAACAGGAUUAGAUACCCGUGUAGUC
rnacentral:rRNA from 1 species